GGAUCAGUGAUAAGAACAACAAUGUCAGGAUGCUGAACAACUCUUAGAAAUAGCAAACUCAGGUCC